CACCCGAUAACUAAUAAUAGUCUAGGUCUUUUAAACCUAUAAUAGUAUCCAUAAUACUUCUGGUGA
rnacentral:tRNA from 1 species